UUUCCGUAGGUGAACCUGCGGAAGGAUCAUUAUCGAGAUACUUUUUUAGUGUUCCGUGCUAUCCCCCUGUUUUCUAUACCAUGUUGCUUCCAUUGGAUGAGUUUCCAUAACUUGUGUUUGGGAGACUUUGGCUUGUGCAUGUUUCCUUCACGCCCAGCCAGUGAGACGACCAUAUACAUUAACCUGUUAAGCACCAAUUGUCUGACUAUUUUAAUCCAAUAAAAAAAAAUUUUCAAAAACGGCUCUCUAGGCUCUUGCAUCGAUGGAGAACACAACAGA
rnacentral:misc_RNA from 1 species